rnacentral:rRNA from 1 species
AGAGUGAACGCUGGCGGUAGGCCUAACACAUGCAAGUCGAACGGCAGCACAGGAGAGCUUGCUCUCUGGGUGGCGAGUGGCGGACGGGUGAGGAAUACAUCGGAAUCUACCUUUUCGUGGGGGAUAACGUAGGGAAACUUACGCUAAUACCGCAAUAAGACCUUCGGGUGAAAGCCGGGGACCUUCGGGCCUGGCGCGGAUAGAUGAGCCGAUGUCGGAUUAGCUUGUUGGCGGGUAAAAGCCCACCAAGGCGACGAUCCGUAGCUGGCUGAGAGGAUGAUCAGCCACACGUGGAACUGAGACACGGUCAGACUCCGUACGGGAGGCCAGCAGGUGGGAAUAGUUGGACAAGUGGGACGACGAAGCC